GGUCGCUUAGCUCAGUUGGUUAGAGCGUGGUGCUAAUACUGGCGGUUCUCGACACAACGAGGAUCUUGAAAGAUAACGCCAAGGUCGCGAGUUCGACCCUCGUAGUGACCA